UCUGGCUCCUACCAUUUCAAAACUUGUCCUGUCACGGCUCACAUCCUACUGGUGCUUGGCACACCGGGACACAUUCAUUCAUAAUACAAUCUCUGGCCCUGCACCUUCCUGACAUGAUGCCAUACCAGGAGCUGCGGCUGCCCUUGACCAGCACUGAGAGAGACAACGGUGCUACUAGCCUGGGAAAAGAUUAAAACUAAAAGUUUGAAGUUCUGGUUCUACUGAAUGUGUGUUGCUUUCACAUCAUGGUAAAGUCAAACCAUGGCCUCACAGACCACAGGAUAUGCAGAACCUCAAACUUGCCUCAGAAAUCCAAGAUUUCGAAGACCCUGACGGCCAAAGACUUCAUUCCUAUGACCUUACACUCAAUGUAGAGCCGGUGGAUGACAUAAUGUGGGUUUCAUCCAUAAACUGACUGGUGUCUCA